rnacentral:rRNA from 1 species
CCUACGGGUGGCAGCAGUGGGGAAUAUUGCACAAUGGGCGCAAGCCUGAUGCAGCCAUGCCGCGUGUGUGAAGAAGGCCUUCGGGUUGUAAAGCACUUUCAGCAGGGAGGAAGGCGUUAAGGUUAAUAACCUUGGCGAUUGACGUUACCCGCAGAAGAAGCACCGGCUAACUCCGUGCCAGCAGCCGCGGUAAUACGGAGGGUGCAAGCGUUAAUCGGAAUUACUGGGCGUAAAGCGCACGCAGGCGGUCUGUCAAGUCGGAUGUGAAAUCCCCGGGCUCAACCUGGGAACUGCAUUCGAAACUGGCAGGCUAGAGUCUUGUAGAGGGGGGUAGAAUUCCAGGUGUAGCGGUGAAAUGCGUAGAGAUCUGGAGGAAUACUGGUGGCGAAGGCGGCCCCCUGGACAAAGACUGACGCUCAGGUGCGAAAGCGUGGGGAGCAAACAGGAUUAGAUACCCCGGUAGUC